rnacentral:rRNA from 1 species
UACGGAGGGUGCAAGCGUUAUCCGGAUUCACUGGGUUUAAAGGGUGCGUAGGAGGGCAGGUAAGUCAGUGGUGAAAUCUCCAAGCUUAACUUGGAAACUGCCGUUGAUACUAUCUGUCUUGAAUAUUGUGGAGGUGAGCGGAAUAUGUCAUGUAGCGGUGAAAUGCUUAGAUAUGACAUAGAACACCAAUUGCGAAGGCAGCUCACUACUCAAUCAUUGACUCUGAGGCACGAAAGCGUGGGGAUCAAACGGG